rnacentral:rRNA from 1 species
UACAGAGGUCUCAAGCGUUGUUCGGAUUCAUUGGGCGUAAAGGGUGCGUAGGCGGCGCGGUAAGUCGGGUGUGAAAUCUCGGAGCUUAACUUCGAAACUGCAUUCGAUACUGCCGUGCUUGAGGACUGGAGAGGAGACUGGAAUUUACGGUGUAGCGGUGAAAUGCGUAGAUAUCGUAAGGAAGACCAGUGGCGAAGGCGGGUCUCUGGACAGAUCCUGACGCUGAGGCACGAAGGUCAGGGGAGCAAACGGG